GACGAACGCUGGCGGCGCGCUUAACACAUGCAAGUCGUGCGGUGUCGAAGGCAAGUCUUACGACAAGCCUUCGACACAGCGGCGAACGGGUGAGUAACACGUGAGUAGCUGUCCUAAGGAGGGGGAUAACGCCUGGAAACGGGUGCUAACACCCCAUAUGCCUCGCAAGAGGUGAAAGUGUACUUGCUACAGCCUUAGGGUGUGCUCGCGGCCUAUCAGCUAGUUGGUGAGGUAACGGCUCACCAAGGCCAAGACGGGUAGCCGGCCUGAGAGGGUGUACGGCCACACUGGAAUUGAGAUACGGUCCAGACUCCUACGGGAGGCAGCAGUGGGGAAUCUUGGGCAAUGGGCGAAAGCCUGACCCAGCGACGCCGCGUUGGGGAUGAAGCCCUUCGGGGCGUAAACCCAUGUUGUAGGGGACGAAGAAAGUGACGGUACCUACGAGAAAGCCCCGGCAACUACGUGCCAGCAGCCGACGGUAAAAGUACUCUAU
rnacentral:rRNA from 1 species